rnacentral:misc_RNA from 1 species
GAUGAAGAACGCAGCGAAAUGCGAAAAGUAAUGUGAAUUGCAGAAUUCAGUGAAUCAUCGAAUCUUUGAACGCACAUUGCGCCCGCUGGUACUCCGGCGGGCACGCCUGUCCGAGCGUCAUUUCAACCCUCAAGCCCUCCUUCGGGAUGGGCCUGGUGUUGGGGCUCGACCGCCAUCUCCGGCGGCCGUCCCCUAAAUACAGUGGCGGUCACGUCGCGACUCCUUUGCGUAGUAGAAACACCUCGCUCCGGAUAGCAACGCGGUCCACGCCGUAAAACCACCAAUUUUCAAUGGUUGACCUCGGAUCAGGUGGGAAUACCCGCUGAACUUAAGCAUAUCAAUAAGCGGAGGA